rnacentral:miRNA from 1 species
CGUGUUCAGGUCUGACUGUUCCAGA